rnacentral:tRNA from 1 species
GGGUAGGUACCAGAGUGGCCAAAUGGGGCGGACUGUAAAUCCGCUGGCUUACGCCUACGGGGGUUCGAAUCCCUCCCUGCCCA